rnacentral:rRNA from 1 species
AUUGAACGCUGGCGGCAGGCCUAACACAUGCAAGUCGAACGAGUGGCGGACGGGUGAGUAAUGUCUGGGAAACUGCCCGCUGGAGGGGGAUAACUACUGGAAACGGUAGCUAAUACCGCAUACCAUCGGAUGUGCCCAGCUGGGAUUAGCUAGUAGGUGGGGUAACGGCUCACCUAGGAGACGAUCACUAGCUGGUCUGCGAGGAUGACGAGCAAAAGUGGAACUGAGACACGGCCCAGACUCCUACGGAAGCAAGCAGUGGGGAACAUUGCACAAUGGGCGAAAGCCUGAUACAGCCAUGCCGGGUGUAGGAAGAAGGCCUUCGGGUUGUAAAGUACGUUGAGAGAGGAGGCGGUACUCGCAGAAGAAGCACCGGCUAACUCCGUGCCAGCAGCCGCGGUAAUUC